rnacentral:lncRNA from 1 species
CCCGGUCCCGUCCGACGCGCCGGGCCUGCUCUCCGUUAGCUAAGGCGGCGCGGACCCUAACCCUCCGGUCAGGCUAAGGGGACCCUACCUGUCGCCACCUCUCUCUCCGCUCUUCGUUCCUGCUUUAAGCACCAAAGCGGCCUGAAGCCAAUCUUCUGCGGGAGCAUCCCUUAGUUAGGAGCUUGUUUCGUCGCCUUAAAAAUUGCUAGUUCCUUCCCCUCCCCUGCAGGGCAGCGAUCAGAUGCGAAUAAGGGGAAGCGUUUUCCCAGGGGAAAAGCUAGCUGCCGUUUCACAGAAAAUCUGCCAGGUCAUUUGAUUACGUAGCCAUCGUUUAUAGCCAUAAACAGCCAUCGUUUAUGUCAAUUUAGACCAUGGGACUGUUUCCUCUGAUAGAGCAAUCUCCUGAAAUCUGCUGGAAAAAGCUAACUGAGAGACAAUCUGGAAGUCUGUAUUUAGCAGAUCCAGAGACGUUACCCUGUUGCAUUCGUGUCUGGUUUGGAGGUGCGAUUCGGGAAGUCAGGUCUUGACAGCGAGGUGUUGAAAGCAUCAGGGGCUGGUCUCGGCCGUGCCGCCUGCGCUAGCCGAGCUGGUACCUGGGGAAGCGUCAGGAAGUGCACAGCGUGGGCCGUGGUGGAGCGCGAGCGGAGAAGGAAGUGCUGGGAUUGGAUGCGAGAGCGGUCGAGGCGGUGGCCGUGGAUCAUUUCCAAGGAAGAGGCAGACCGUAGCAAAGGACGGGCAAUUUUUUUAUUGGGUAGCAAAAUCCACAGCCGUAUCUCCGCUUUCCCCUUUGAGCUCUCCGUUGCAAAGGUCCCGGUCCGCUUCUGAAGAAGCCCUCAACCGCGGUGAAGCAGGACGCAGAUGCGUUUUGUGGCCGAAGGGAGUAGCUUCGGGUGCUAGGAGAGGCCAAGCAGAUGCACGUGCCUCAGAAAAGCAGAUCCUGAAGCAAUUCCAGGGUGACGCAGGAUGCCAAAGCCAGGUGGCCUUUGCCGCUGGUCAGAGCGGCCGUGCAGCGAGCCCUACGCUAUGGCUUUAGGAUAAAACACCUGAUUUAUAGAACAAACAGAUUUAACUACGUACCUCUUAAAAAUGUUUUAAUUGGUAGAGAUACUUUUUAAAUUAUUGGUGAUCCAACGUUCGCAAAGCUCUGAUUAGCUCUGCGCGAGUGUUCUGGCGUCGCGAUGUUCCCCAGCUGCUCCUCUUAACUUUCAAGUUGUCUUUUCUCAUGUCACUAGUAAUAAAUGAUCUGAAAACUGUAAUAUAGGGAAGUCU